rnacentral:rRNA from 1 species
UAACGAAUAUUGGACAAUGGACGAAAGCCUGAUCCAGCAAUGCCGCGUGUGUGAAGAAGGCCUUAGGGUUGUAAAGCACUUUAAGCAGGAAAGAAGGGGGUUGUGUUAAUACCAUAACCUUUUGACGUUACCUGCAGAAUAAGCACCGGCUAACUCCGUGCCAGCAGCCGCGGUAAUACGGAGGGUGCGAGCGUUAAUCGGAAUUACUGGGCGUAAAGCGUAUGUAGGCGGUUUGAUCAGUCGGAUGUGAAAUCCCCGAGCUUAACUUGGGAAUGGCAUUCGAAACUAUCAAGCUAGAGUAGGCUAGAGGAAAGGGGAAUUCCGCGUGUAGCAGUGAAAUGCGUAGAUAUGCGGAGGAACACCAAUGGCGAAGGCACCUUUCUGGGGUCAUACUGACGCUGAGGUGCGAAAGUGUGGGGAUCAAACA